UCAACCUUCUGUAGAAAGAAAGGGAAGAGGACAGUGGUGGAAGAAUAUUCCAACGAGUUUAGUGGCGGUUUCCGGCUGUUGAGGGCUAGCUUUAGCGAUCGGAGGGCGACUGGAGCGGUUCCGGCGGACAGGGCGUUUUCGGUGGUGGUAAAAGAUGAUUCGGUCAGCUUGGGGUGUAGACGAUGAAGGUGGUUGGAACGACGGGACACGGGCGAUUAUUGGUGACUCCCGGCGAGGUGACGACGGUUUGGGCUGAAAGAGAGAUUUCCAGCGGUCUCCGACGAGGUCAAGACAGAUUCUGGCAAGGGUAGAGAUAUGUUGGACAUGGAGGAUCGCUAAAGAACGGAUAAACCGUAGUGGGCAUGGAGAAGAAGGGGGAAAAAGCAUUAAAAGGUCUCGACUUGAAUUCUCAUGGAAGUUUCGAAUUUCAUGUGAAAUUAGUGAAAAUCUUGAAUAUCCCUUGUAUGUGUUGAAAGUCAU